AGCGCUGUGGCUUAGAUUGUCAAAGUGCCUGUCUAGUAAACAGGAAUACCUAGGUUCAAAUCCCAGCAGUGCCU
rnacentral:tRNA from 1 species